rnacentral:RNase_P_RNA from 1 species
AGGGUGCGGUAAGAGCGCACCGGGGCUUCGGUAACGCGGCCCGCAUGGCAAACCCCACCCGGAGCAAGGCCGAAUAGGGGCGGCGCGCUGGAAACAGCAGGUGCGUUUCGCAUCGACCGCCCGGGUUGGCUGCUCGAGCUGCGGAGCAAUCCGUGGCCUAGACGAAUGGCUGCCCCCGCGCGGCAGGUGUGCAAGCAUACCGCGGGCGGGACAGAACCCGGCUUACAGGCUCCCUGGCAAA